UACGAAGGGGGCUAGCGUUGUUCGGAAUUACUGGGCGUAAAGCGUGCGCAGGCGGCUUCUCAAGUCAGGGGUGAAAGCCCAGAGCUUAACUCUGGAAUUGCCUUUGAGACUGAGAGGCUUGAGUACGGGAGAGGUGAGUGGAAUUCCCAGUGUAGAGGUGAAAUUCGUAGAUAUUGGGAAGAACACCAGUGGCGAAGGCGGCUCACUGGACCGGAACUGACGCUGAGGCGCGAAAGCGUGGGGAGCAAACGGG
rnacentral:rRNA from 1 species